UGGGGAAUAUUGGACAAUGGGGGCAACCCUGAUCCAGCAAUGCCGCGUGAGUGAAGAAGGCCCUCGGGUUGUAAAACUCUUUCAUCAGUGAAGAUAAUGACUGUAAUUGAAGAAGAAGCUCCGGCUAACUCCGUGCCAGCAGCCGCGGUAAUACGGAGGGGGCUAGCGUUGUUCGGAAUUACUGGGCGUAAAGCGCGCGUAGGCGGAUCAAAAAGUUAGAUGUGAAAUCCCUAGGCUUAACUUAGGAACUGCAUUUAAAACUAGUGAUCUAGAAUUUGGUAGAGGAUAGUAGAAUUUCUAGUGUAGAGGUGAAAUUCGUAGAUAUUGGAAAGAAUACCAGUGGCGAAGGCGACUAUCUGGGCCAACAUUGACGCUGAGGUGCGAAAGCGUGGGUAGCAAACAGG
rnacentral:rRNA from 1 species